GAUGAACGCUAGCGGCAGGCCUAAUACAUGCAAGUCGAACGAGAUUACGAGGCUUGCUUCUUAUGAAAGUGGCGCACGGGUGCGUAACGCGUAUGCAACCUACCUUAAUCAGGGGGAUAGCCCGAAGAAAUUCGGAUUAAGACCGCAUAAAAACACAGGAUAGCAUUAUCCAAUGUUCAAAUAUUUAUAGGAUUAAGAUGGGCAUGCGUGUCAUUAGCUAGUUGGCGGGGUAACGGCCCACCAAGGCGACGAUGACUAGGGGAUCUGAGAGGAUGACCCCCCACACUGGUACUGAGACACGGACCAGACUCCUACGGGAGGCAGCAGUAAGGAAUAUUGGUCAAUGGAGGGAACUCUGAACCAGCCAUGCCGCGUGCAGGAAGACAGCCCUCUGGGUCGUAAACUGCUUUUAUUCGGGAAUAAACCUUUCUACGUGUAGGAAGCUGAAUGUACCGAAGGAAUAAGAAUCGGCUAACUCCGUG
rnacentral:rRNA from 1 species